AUCGACUUAUUAGGUACAGUGAGAAGCCUUUGAACUUAAAAGACGGGAGGAAGACAAGCAUGCUGCUCGUGGGUUCGUCACACCCUGUUCUAUGCAACAAAGCAACCACAGGACGUUGCUGGGCAGAGGGAAGUUAUUGUGUGAAGGCCAAGGUCAUAACAAGGUUACCGUUCUCAUGAGUCUGGGCUAGGUCUGGGCCCUCCCGCCCCGCUCCCUGUAUCAGCCCCACUCCCAGGCUCCAGAGCUAGGCCACUUGAUGCCUGGUCAGUCCUUUCUGUGCCUUCCCAAAUUUACUCUCAAUUUCUGGCUCAUCUACUAUUCUCAUUUGCUAUUUCUUAAGUUCUGGGCCACGGGAGCCCAAGGUCUCACUCAGCCCUGCACAAACCCCAGCUCUCAAAGCCGGCGUCGCUCUCACUCAUUCCCUGUCUCCGCAUCGACACGGAGGAGCCACUGGAUAUAACGCUGAGGUAUUAAAAAAAGAAGGAAGUUCAGAAAAACAAACACAGUACGACAGCAUUUGUAGGAAGUUUUUUUUUAAAGGCAAAACUGUACAACGCAGUGUUCUAGAUGUGGGAAAACCUAACGAAACUCAUGAGGAUGAAAAACAGCAAACGGGGUGGGGAGACUUGUGGACAGGGGAGGGGGAGGAGGCGGGGGGCGCGGGAGGGGGAGGAGGCGGGAGGAGGCGGGGGUGGGUGGAGGCGGGAGGGUGGGACUUAUUAAUGAGGCUUGUUUCCGAGUCCGGGUAGCAGAUACACGUGACAUCAGAAACAUCUCAUAAUCACGAAAGAAAUCGAAGCACGCGUGCUCUCUCGGGAGGGCCCUCCUUCUGCGUGCCAGCCCUUGGGAUCUGGACUUCUGGCUCCUGGAAACAUUCAAAAGG
rnacentral:lncRNA from 1 species